AAACUUGAAGGAUAACUCGUUUGGAAUAAAAAUAAAUGAAUAAAUAAAAUGGUCGUAAUUUACUAAAGCCUUGUCCUGACAGAACAGGAGUUAAUAGGAAGCCUUAGCUUCAGAACCGGGAAACAGAAGCCACUUGUAUUUCUUACAUCAGCAUUGGAACAUGCCAUGUAGAGAUGGUGUGAGGAAAAUUUUCCAGAGACACAGACACAGAAUCAUGAAGAGACCUUAUUUGCUUUCCAUCCUCGCUGACAAAUGAUGACAGCACUUGUUUUUCUCAGUUGCAGAGUGUCUGACACAUUAGGAGCUAUUGUUGUCCCCUCGCAUGAACUAUUAGCCUGGUCUUUAACGCAUUAACAGCCUCAAAUCCAAAGGAAAGAGCAACAAAAGCUUUUAAGAUGUUGAUGAUAAUGGCAGGGCCUCUCUCUGAGAACAAGAUUGGUAAAUGCAGAUUGACUGGUGCGUGAACUACAUGUUUUAUUGGCAAUGAAAAUUAUGAAAUAUUAUGUAUACGAUGGAGCUCAUUAAAAACAUAUUACA